CGGGAUACUACAUUAUGUUUCGUUGUCACGUUUCCUCAGGCUAUUGGUUGUGACGGUUUCUCGGACUUUUCUUGUUUUUGAUGACCGAGACAGCUCUGAGGAUUAAAAUACUGAUCACGCAUACUGGAGUAUGCCCUUCAAUUUCGAUUCAUCUGAUGUUUCUCACUAUUAGACCGGGAUUAUGGGUUUAGGGGAGGAAAACCACAGAAGGAAAGCGCCAUUCUCAUGACCUCGCAUCCAGGGUACAUCCUAUGAAUGUGACUUAUAACUUUUGAAGUUGACCUUGAUCACCUGGCUGAGACAGUGUUUAUCACGUUUCUCUACUGUAAAGUUACUCCUGUUAUUCUGUCCUUUUGCUCGCUGCACGCUUAUGCUCCACCUCCCUGAGAGCUGAGCAUCCGCAUAAAUGCUUCUGGAUGCUUCUACGUGGGCGACUUGUCUCUUGACCGACACUUACUUAUUCAAUCAACGAUUUACAUCAUCGAGCCUGCAAAGAACCACAUUUUGUAUUUGGCUUCUUUGGAACCAGAACUUUCACCUGCAGAUAAAAAUGAGUUUAAAUGUGCUCCUGCAAUCACAUUCAGCCUAAUCAGCUGCUUGGCAGAACCUCUUUUCAUCGGCCACUCUGAACUCCGG
rnacentral:lncRNA from 1 species